rnacentral:rRNA from 1 species
UGGGGAAUUUUGGACAAUGGGCGAAAGCCUGAUCCAGCAAUGCCGCGUGUGUGAAGAAGGCCUUCGGGUUGUAAAGCACUUUUGUCCGGAAAGAAAUCCUUGGCUCUAAUACAGUCGGGGGAUGACGGUACCGGAAGAAUAAGCACCGGCUAACUACGUGCCAGCAGCCGCGGUAAUACGUAGGGUGCAAGCGUUAAUCGGAAUUACUGGGCGUAAAGCGUGCGCAGGCGGUUUGCUAAGACCGAUGUGAAAUCCCCGGGCUCAACCUGGGAACUGCAUUGGUGACUGGCAGGCUAGAGUAUGGCAGAGGGGGGUAGAAUUCCACGUGUAGCAGUGAAAUGCGUAGAGAUGUGGAGGAAUACCGAUGGCGAAGGCAGCCCCCUGGGCCAAUACUGACGCUCAUGCACGAAAGCGAUGGGGAGCAAACGAGGAUUAGAUACCCUGGUAGUCCAGCGCCCUAAACGAUGUCAACUAGUUGUUGGGGAUUCAUUUCCUUAGUAACGUAGCUAACGCGUGAAGUUGACCGCCUGGGGAGUACGGUCGCAAGAUUAAAACUCAAAUGAAUUGACGGGGUCAUAGCUGUUUCCU